rnacentral:tRNA from 1 species
GGCCUCGUAGCUCGGCUGGUAGAGCUUACGCUGUACAAAAGCGUAAGUGGCGUCCAUGCGUGGGUUCAAAUUCCACCGAGGCUA